AAUCUUCCGCAAUGGGCGAAAGCCUGACGGAGCAACGCCGCGUGGGUGAAGACGGCCUUCGGGUUGUAAAACCCUGUCUUAUGGGAAGAAGAAAGUGACGGUACCAUAGGAGGAAGCCACGGCUAACUACGUGCCAGCAGCCGCGGUAAUACGUAGGUGGCAAGCGUUGUCCGGAAUCACUGGGCGUAAAGGGCGCGUAGGCGGUUAUUUAAGUCGGAUGUGUAAUCUUUGGGCUCAACCCAAAGUUUGCAUUCGAUACUGGGUAACUUGAGUGCAGGAGAGGGCAGUGGAAUUCCUAGUGUAGCGGUGAAAUGCGUAGAUAUUAGGAGGAACACCAGUGGCGAAGGCGGCUGCCUGGACUGUAACUGACGCUGAGGCGCGAAAGCGUGGGGAGCAAAC
rnacentral:rRNA from 1 species